rnacentral:lncRNA from 1 species
CAAAUCUUCGCAAGGUCUUUGAAUCAGUAUUUUACUAGAUUAACUUAGCAUUUAUUAAAUUAUACUCAUCAAAUACAUAUUCAUUAAAUUAAAGAGCAUACUGAUUUUUAAGUUACUAAAAUUGGAAGACUAGCAAAAUCUUGCCAAAAAAUGUAGAAACCAAGCUUGAUUUUUCUUCUUGGCAAGGCUCAUAAAAGGUUUUCCUGCCAUUUCUAAAAUUUAAGUUCUCUUUUGUUAGAAUGUUCUAGUAAAUGAAUGUUUUAAUGCUAUUUUGUGCAAAUUUGACAUUUACACUAAAGAUAGUUUUGUUCCUGUAUCCAUCUGUUGGCUAGACAUGUCUACCUGGAUGAUCCUCUUGAAACAAAUAUAACCAUCUACUCUACCCACCACCCAUGUCCCUGUGCUUAGUUGUAUCUCUCUCAUUAUCUAGUUCAUUGCCUUGUCUGGAGGAUACCAGAAAGAGGUUAUUAAAUGAAAGAACUUUCUCAUCUUGGAGAUCCAUCAGUGUCAAAUGCAAGGAACAUAAGAGUUUAUUUUUUCCUCAGUGUUCUCUGCAUUUAGACAUUCCAGGUUACUGGGUUUGGGUACUGAGUUCUCCCAACAACAAAUCCCUUUGUUGGUCAAAUAAUAGGAUCAUCUUGGGUAUAAAUAUCAGUAGUGAAUGGAACACUUCCUGGAAGAAAUCAGUUUUUCCCCCCACAUUUUUAAUGGGUGUAUUGUAGUUGCACACAAUGGAGGGAUUUGUUGUUACAUAUUGGUACAUGCACACAACGUAACAAUAUAAUUUGGCCAAUAUCAUUUUCCAGUACUUCCCAUGUUCCUCCCCUUCUUCCUCCCACUAGUUCCUUUCUCUAGUCUACUGAUCUCCCUUUGAUUUUAAUUAGAUCCCCACUCCAACUUUCUUUUCCUUUUUCUUCUCUAGCCUCCACAUAUAAGAGAAAACACAACCCUUGAGAAAUCAGAGCUUUUUAAAACUUACAAUCUUACAGACUGGCAUUUGACAUGAAAAAAUAAUUUAUCUUGCAAAGACAGAAAGAGAAACUACAUACUUCCUUUGCCAAUUUGGACCCUGUGAUAUUGAUCAAGGCACUUGGAUUCAGAGAUCAGGAUACUGGACACAUGAGAAAGUUAAUAUUUUAUGGACUAACAAUUAGGUGGAACAAGUAAGAAUUCAAUUUAUAUGAUGCCUUUGUCUGGAAAGCUUUAAUUGUCAACUCCCACCCCAACUUUCAUCCCCCAUACACAAGAGGAUCACACACAGAAUGAGCUAAACACCUUUCCUAUGUAUUCACAAAGCAUCCUGAAUGGGUAUCAUGAUCACUUACUGACAUGUCUGGUGGCCAUUUCUGGAUCAUGAAUGACUUGAGAUAUCUACUUCUCAACUUCUUUUGUGAAUAAGCAAUAUUUUCCUAGCCACAGCUAAUUAUUUCAUACAUUUUUAUAAUCCUACAUAGACGUGUUGAGUCUAAAUAUUUGUGAUUAAUAACUGAUUAAUGAUAAGAGACUUUUUCCCCAGGACCUUUCCCUGUGGUCAGUUUAAUGGUGGGAUCUGUUGUUCUAAGUAUGGCCCCCGACGAACAAUUUCUCAUGUCCAGCAAUAAUGGAAGUACCUUGAAUACUACCAUGCUAGAUACAGCAGCCAGAGAUACUGCAAGAGUAAUGAUUGCAAGCACCCUUACCCUUUUGGUUGGAAUCAUACAGGUAAUGGUCAUACAAGUAAAAUAUAGAUUGGUGUGAUUCUCUCUCUCUCUCUCUCUCUUUUUUUUAUAAUUUUUUUUUUAGUUGUAGUUGACACAAUACCUUUAUUUUAUUUAUUUAUUUAUAUGUGGUGCGAGGAUCAAACCCAAGGCCUCGCACAUGCUAGGAAAGCACUCUGCUGCUGAGCCACAACCCCAGCCGCCCUCUCUCUCUCUCUUUUUUUUUUAAAAAAAAAUAAUUGUUUUAUUUAUUUGUUUUUAUGCAGUGUUAAGGAUCCAGCCCAGUGCCUCACACAUGCUAGGCAAGCACUCUGCCACUAAGCCACAGCCCCAACUCCAUUGUGUGAUUCUUAUUUGCAAUAAGUAACUUCAAAACAUGUGAACAUAAAGAUUCAUCUAAAAGGAAAACAAAGUAAUUUCCGGGACCCAAAAGUUAUUUUCCAAAUACAUUAUCUUAGCCGGAUGUUAAGAUAGUUUGAAAGACCUCACUUAUUAAUAUUUACUUACUAUCAAAAGUCGAGAUAGAAGGGGGAAAAAAAAAGCAGAUGAAAAUGCCUGAUUCAGUUGAGGAUGAGAGAAAGAAAGUAUAUAUACUGGUGAGCAGAGCCACGGGACCUGGAAGUCACAGAAAAAAUCUACAUGAUGUUUGCUUUUCUUAGUACAUACACAGAAAUACUUUGAGGUUUAUAUUUCAAGGGGUUUUGAUUGAUAUUAAACUUAAUUUAUUAAUAUUUCCAGAAAGAUGGUUCUUUUCUCAGACUUUUUUUUUUUUUUUUUUUGAUACUGGGGAAUGAACUCAGGGGUGUUUAACCACUGAGCCAUAUCCCCAACCCUUUUCUUUUUUAAAAAAAAUUGAGGCAGUGUCUCGCUAAGUUUUAUAGGGUCUUGUUAAGUUGCUGAGGCUGGCCCUGAACUUAAUGAUUCUCCUCCUGCCUCAGCCUCCUGAGUUGCUGAGAUUAUAGGUGUGUGCCACAAACCUAGCUUCUCAGGAAAACAUUUUAACUUUUUACUUUCUUCUCAUCCUAGCUGGUAUUUGGAGGUUUGCAGAUUGGAUUCAUAGUGAGGUACUUGGCAGAUCCAUUGGUUGGAGGAUUUACAACAGCUGCUGCCUUCCAGGUACUGGUCUCGCAGCUAAAGAUUGUCCUCAACGUUUCAACCAAAAACUAUAAUGGAGUUCUCUCCAUUAUCUAUGUAAGUGCUGCUUUUUAUUCUGGGGAGGGGU